GAUUCCUCCCUGCGUCGAAUAAUUGUGGAUCUUUCUCGCCUUUUUCAUUUUCUUGAUACGAUGGGUUUUUCUUGGAGAAUUUUGUUUGCGAUCGGAUGAGUUUACUGCCUCCGUGGUUAUCGACGGGUAGGGUUCCUUGUGAUUCUUGCGCACGGGAGUGGUCUUAGUGAGUGAUUCCUUCCUGCGUCGAAUAAUUGUGGUUCGUUCUCCUUGUUUAGACUUUCUUGGUACGAUAGGUUUUUCUUGGAGAAUUGUGUUUGCGAUCGGAUGAGUUUACUGCGGUCGUGGUUAUCUACGGGUAGGGUUCCAUGCGAUUCUUGCGCACAGGAGUGGUCCUAUGAAAUCCUUCGGGCUAUGGGCUUGGUGUAAUUUGGAAAUUAAGGAUAAUUUGAUGGAUCAUGUUUCUGUCUGGACAGACACAAUAAGGGCAUUGCUAAAAUUCAUUAUGUCAGUCAUUGGUAGAAAACGAAAGUAGUGCUCCUUCAAACACAAAUUAGUUGCACUUGUUGCUAAGACUAGUAGAAAGGACGGCUCCAAAUUCUAAACAGGAAA